rnacentral:rRNA from 1 species
CCUACGGGAGGCAGCAGUGAGGAAUAUUGGUCAAUGGACGAGAGUCUGAACCAGCCAAGUAGCGUGAAGGAUGACUGCCCUAUGGGUUGUAAACUUCUUUUAUAUGGGAAUAAAACGUUCCACGUGUGGGACCUUGUAUGUACCAUAUGAAUAAGGAUCGGCUAACUCCGUGCCAGCAGCCGCGGUAAUACGGAGGAUCCGAGCGUUAUCCGGAUUUAUUGGGUUUAAAGGGGGCGUAGGUGGAUUGUUAAGUCAGUUGGUAAAGUUUGGGGCUCAACCGUAAAAUUGCAGUUGAAACUGGCAGUCUUGAGUACAGUAGAGGUGGGCGGAAUGCGUGGUGUAGCGGUGAAAUGCUUAGAUAUCACGCAGAACUCCGAUUGCGAAGGCAGUUCACUGGACUGCAACUGACGCUGAGGCACGAAAGUGUGGGUAUCAAACAGGAUUAGAUACCCUAGUAGUC